CAGAGACACUUCCGGCUGGGAAAUAAGUGGCGACGUUUCUUACAGGGUAGGUUGAAAGUGCCCUUACUGCUUAGUUUCAUUUUUAAACAUGCGCAUGUAGAAGCUGAGCGGCGGUUGCCUUAGUCUUUUGAGAUCUGCCUUUGGCCUGAGGUCUCCAUGGCUGGAUUGGCGCCUCGGCCUUCGCUGCCGCCGCGGGCGCGUCACCCAAGAUUGCGGCUUGGGACUUUAGGCUUAAGAGGGUGGAAAGUCCCCAUCUAGUUAGGCCUCGCCCUCUCAGCUCGGAGCGCCCACCCAGAAGCAGAGCAAGGUCUCUGUCGCACCCGGAGGUGGUGAGGGAGGCCGGGCCCGGCGUGAGCCCGGAGCCUGCAGGGCGGAAGUGUGUUUCCAACAAGUGGGGAGACGCACGUGUCCCCUCCUAGGAGGAGGCUGCACUCGGGCCGCUUGGGAGCGAGCCGGGCAGAUCCCUGCCUUCAGAGGCCGACCCCAUCUCAACUGCGGAGUGCGUUAGGGAAGAAAGAGCUGGGUUGUUGGGAAACACUGUACGAACAGGGAGAUGGGGUUCCCUUGAGUUAGCGAGGCCCUCUCGAGAAAAUGGGUUUCAUACUCGGGCCAGUUAAAGGGCGCAGCAGCAACGGGACAGAAGCGCAUUCCGGGCUGCUUUUGCGAAGUGUCUGGCAGGAAAAGGAACGUUAGUGUAUUCUAGGAACUGAAAGAAGGCGGAGUGCGUGACACCCAGCUGCGAAGGAGGAAUACAGAGGCAGACAUGGGCCAGACCAGGUCCUGAAGACUGGAAGAGACUUGUUGGGCUGUAAAGAUUUUGACUUUAUCAGAAGAAUAAUGAGGGAACUAUAGUGUUUUUAGCAGGCAAUGCUUGUGUAUUUUUUUUUGUACCGGGGAUCGAACUCCGGACCUUGCGCUUGCGAGGCAGGCGGCCGAACGAACCACUGAGCUAAAUCCCCCGCUGCUUGUGUAUUUCAAAGGUUGUACUGAAUGGAAAGUCCAGAAGGAUACCUUGAAGAAGUGUUUACCAAAAAAGAAAAAAAAUGAUGGAAGGACCCUGCGCUUGCGAGCCAGGCGACGGAACCACUGAGACAAAUCCCGGGCCCCCGUAAGCUGUUUCUUGUCUUGAGAGUGUGAGGUUGUAGGCAAGUUCAUAGCAGCAGAUGGGAGAGAAAGAAUGACAUUUGGAAGUUCUUAGGUAAAGGAAAUUUGAAAUAAUUACUAUUUUAAGAAAAAUGGAAUGGUGCAAGCUGCAUAUGUAGUUUAAAAUUUUCCCGUAGCUAUGUAAAAAGCUUUCAAAGGGGCAGGCAGAAUUAGGAAUGUGUUUUACUUAACCCAGUAUCCAAUAUUAUUUCAGUAUUAAAUCAGCAUAUAAAAAUUAUUGAGAUGUUUAAUCCUCUUUGUUUGAAGUCUUCAAAAUGUAGUGUGUAUUCUAUAGCAGGCCCCAGUGUGUGCUGUGUAGCACACAUCCCUGCCCAGUACUAGCAGGCUGUGAGCGGCAUCUGCUUCUUGCUUUCCAUAAUUCGGCUAUGUUGUUUUAUAUCAGGAGUCAGACUGAAGCUCUGUGUGACUCACAUGGGCAUGAAAAAUGGUAGACUGGGCAAGUCUAGCCUCUCCCUGGAUGGCUGCCUCGGGAACCUAGGCCUGGUCUGUGAAGUGGCAGGGCUCUGCUGAGUUACAUGCAGCUGAGGUCAGCAUGACCCCAAUUAAAAGCCUUCCCCCUGAAUUAUGGCUUCUCACUGACCUGUUGGGUUGCUUGCUAAUUGUACCUGGCCCCAGUACUGCUUUGUUCUAUCCAAGCAAGACACAAACAGUGCUUCCUCUCCAACAGCCCUGCCUGGCACCAUCAUGCCAGGUGUUCGGCAGUGUUUCACUGGAUGUCUUCAAAGCAUAGCCAGCUCCCUAUUCCUUCCCACAACUGUAUUUAAUAAACACUGGAUGUGCUUGGGGGCCUUUGUCUUUGUUGCCAUCAGCAGCACUGAUCAGGACCUAAGACUUAGCUUCUCCACUCUAAGUCUCGAUUUCUGUCUGUUCUUGAAUUCGCCUUGUGCUAUGCUGGCUCACAGGCCAGGACCUACGCCAGAGGUCCUGGUAACGUCCCCUUCCCCGUUCCCUGUAGUCCUGGUCACAUUUC
ensembl:lncRNA